UACAGAGGUCUCAAGCGUUGUUCGGAUUCAUUGGGCGUAAAGGGUGCGUAGGCGGACCUGCAAGUCGGGGGUGAAAGCCCGAGGCUCAACCUCGGAACUGCCUUCGAUACUGCGGGUCUCGAGUCCGGGAGAGGUGAGUGGAAUUCCUAGUGUAGAGGUGAAAUUCGUAGAUAUUAGGAAGAACACCAGUGGCGAAGGCGGCUCACUGGCCCGGUACUGACGCUGAGGCGCGAAAGCGUGGGGAGCAAACAGG
rnacentral:rRNA from 1 species